AGCAUCUCUGUAAAUUACAGCUAACGGCCUCCAGGUCCCAAUGCUUGACAUAACAUCAGCACAUGGCAGAGAAGGAUGAAACGAUGCCUGCCUAGCUUGGACUUGAAGCACUCCCUCCAGGACCAAGCAGGAAACCACAGGAAUGAUGUCCUGAGACUGGGUCUUCCUCUCAUCUGGGUCGUCUGAAAGUUCCUUAUGAGAGUCUUCAGAUUGGUAGCAGCUGUGUUUGUUGGCUGGGUCCAAGCUGUGGGAGGCUGCGGCAGGCCAGCGGGGAGGAGCUUCAACAUCUGGAAAAGAAGGAAAGCUGGCUGAAAUACAGAGACAAAGUCCUAGCAACAGGAAUACUCCCCGA